AUAGAACUUCGGGGUCGGGUGCAAGUCCCAACCGGCGGUGAUGCAGUUAUACUGAUAAGCCCGUGACCUGCUUUUGCAGUUGAUUUGGUGAGAAUCCAGAGCCGACCGUACAGUCGGGUAUAAAGAAGUUUAAA
rfam:Fructobacillus fructosus KCTC 3544 strain DSM 20349 Scaffold4, whole genome shotgun sequence.